rnacentral:rRNA from 1 species
UACGUAGGGUGCGAGCGUUAAUCGGAAUUACUGGGCGUAAAGCGUGCGUAGGCGGUUCGUUAAGUUCGUCGUGAAAGCCCCGGGCUCAACCUGGGAAUGGCGCUUGAAACUACGGGACUGGAGUAUGGCAGAGGGAGGUGGAAUUCCACGUGUAGCGGUGAAAUGCGUAGAGAUGUGGAGGAACACCGAUGGCGAAGGCAGCCUCCUGGGCCAAUACUGACGCUCAUGCACGAAAGCGUGGGGAGCAAACAGG